rnacentral:rRNA from 1 species
UACGUAGGGGCCUAGCGUUGUCCGGAUUUAUUGGGCGUAAAGAGCGUGUAGGCGGCUAGGUAGGUCCGUUGUGAAAACUCGAGGCUCAACCUCGAGACGUCGAUGGAAACCAUCUAGCUAGAGUCCGGAAGAGGAGAGUGGAAUUCCUGGUGUAGCGGUGAAAUGCGCAGAUAUCAGGAAGAACACCCGUGGCGAAGGCGGCUCUCUGGUACGUGACUGACGCUGAGGAGCGAAAGCGUGGGUAGCAAACAGG